rnacentral:rRNA from 1 species
CCUACGGGGGGCAGCAGUGAGGAAUAUUGGUCAAUGGACGAGAGUCUGAACCAGCCAAGUAGCGUGAAGGAUGACUGCCCUAUGGGUUGUAAACUUCUUUUAUAUGGGAAUAAAAUGUUCCACGUGUGGGUUUUUGUAUGUACCAUAUGAAUAAGGAUCGGCUAACUCCGUGCCAGCAGCCGCGGUAAUACGGAGGAUCCGAGCGUUAUCCGGAUUUAUUGGGUUUAAAGGGAGCGUAGGUGGAUUGUUAAGUCAGUUGUGAAAGUUUGCGGCUCAACCGUAAAAUUGCAGUUGAAACUGGCAGUCUUGAGUACAGUAGAGGUGGGCGGAAUUCGUGGUGUAGCGGUGAAAUGCUUAGAGAUCACGAAGAACUCCGAUUGCGAAGGCAGCUCACUGGACUGCAACUGACACUGAGGCUCGAAAGUGUGGGUAUCAAACAGGAUUAGAUACCCCUGUAGUC